rnacentral:rRNA from 1 species
GAUGAACGCUGGCGGCGUGCUUAACACAUGCAAGUCGAACGAUGAACCUCACUUGUGGGGGGAUUAGUGGCGAACGGGUGAGUAACACGUGAGUAACCUGCCCUUGACUCUGGGAUAAGCCUGGGAAACCGGGUCUAAUACUGGAUACGACCUUCUGGCGCAUGCCAUGUUUGCGGAAAGCUUUUGUGGUUUUGGGUGGACUCGCGGCCUAUGAGCUGGUUGGUGGGGUAAUGGCCAACCAAGGCGACGACGGGUAGCCGGCCUGAGAGGGUGACCGACCACAGUGGGGCUGAGACACGGUCCGGACGGCAGCGGGAGGCAGCAGUGGGGAAUAUUGCACAAUGGGCGCGAGCCUGAUGCAGCGAGGCCGCGUGGGGGUUGGAGGCCUACGGGUUGUAAUCCUCUUUCAGUAGGGAAGAAGGCAGCUUUUGGGUUGGUGACGGUACCUGCAGAAGAAGCGCCGGCUAACUACGUG